rnacentral:rRNA from 1 species
UAUAGAGUUUUGGUUUAGUUUUAGUCAUACUUCCAAGAAAAGCUUUUAUUACCAUUAAAUUAAAUCAACCUGUACCCUAAACUGACACAAGUAGGUAGGUAGAGAAUACUAAGGGGCGCGAGAUAACUCUCUCUAAGGAACUCGGCAAAAUGGCCCCGUAACUUCGGGAGAAGGGGUGCCUAUAUUAAUAUAGGCCGCAGUGACCAGGCCCAGGCGACUGUUUAUCAAAAACACAGGUCUCCGCAAAGUCGUAAGACAAUGUAUGGGGGCUGACGUCUGCCCAGUGCCGGAAGGUAAAAGAAGUUGGUUAUUCUUCGGAAAAAGCUAACGACUGAAGCCCCGGUGAACGGCGGCUGUAACUCUGACAGUCCUAAGGUAGCGAAAUUCCUUGUCGAGUAAGUUUCGACCCGCACGAAAGACGUAACGAUCUGGGCACUGUCUCGGAGAGAGACUCGGUGAAAUAGAAAUGUCUGUGAAGAUGCGGACUACUUAUACCAGGACAGAAAGACCCUAUGAAGCUUGACUGUAAUUUGGAAUUGGAUUCGGGCUUUUUUUGCGCAGUCUAGGUGGGAGGCGUUGAUAUUAAGUUUUCGGAUUUAAUGGAGCCAUUAGUGAGAGACCACUCUAAAAGAGCUAGAAUUCUAAUAGGAUUCCUUGAAUCAGGAUCCUUGACAGUUUCAGAUGGACAGUUUGACUGGGGCGGUGACCUCCCAAAAGGUAACGGAGGUGUGCAAAGGUUCCCUCAAGCUGGACGGAAAUCAGCUGUAGAGUGCAAAGGUAUAAGGGAGCUUGACUGCAAGACCAACAAGUCGAGCAGAGGCGAAAGCCGGCCUUAGUGAUCCGACGGUUCCGAGUGGAAGGGCCGUCGCUCAACGGAUAAAAGUUACUCUAGGGAUAACAGGCUGAUCUCCCCCAAGAGUUCACAUCGACGGGGAGGUUUGGCACCUCGAUGUCGUUUCAUCGCAACCUGGGGCUGGAGUAGGUCCCAAGGGUUGGGCUGUUCGCCCAUAAAAGCGGUACGUGAGAUGGGUUCAGAACGUCGCGAGACAGUUCGGUCCAUAUCCGGUAUAAGCGUAAGAGCAUUGAGAGGAUCUCAACAUUGUACGAGAGGACCCGAAGGGACGUACCGAUGGUGUACCAGUUCUUAUGCCAAUAGGAAACGCUGGGUAGCUAUGUACGGAGUGGAUAAUCGCUGAAAGCAUUUAAGUGAGAAGCCCACCUCAAGAUGAAUGCUCUCUAUUAGAUCGCGGCAAGACAAGCCGAUAGAUUGGCAUCAAGUGUAAGAUUAGUAAUAAUUUCAGCUGAGAUGUACAAAGGAUCGAUUGAUUUUGAC